ensembl:lncRNA
GGAAUGUGCAAAGUGGUUGGAAAAUGUAAGAAGGCUGGAUUGAUGAAUGAUAACGAAACAGUGGGGGAAGUUCAUUUUUAGCUUUAUGAUGUUUCUGCAGUUGCACGAUACUUGAGUGACACGCAGGAGGAGAAAUGAUCCGAGGUGACGUCCGGUUCAUGUGUGCUGCAGUUUCUCCUGUUAUCAAUUUUACCAUUUAGCUUUUUACAGAGAGGGCGACUUAGAACAAUAUCGAUGCACUUUUAAAACACACUCCUUAAGAUUGGUAAGGGGAUGGUGGUUGAGGAGAGUUCAGUAGGUUUUGGGGGUCUUUUUUUUUUUUUUUUUUUUAGUUUUUCUUUAAGUUAUUUGAUUUUUUUCUGGGCUGGAUUCCCAUGGGGGUAACGCACGUUGUCUUGAAAGCUACGCCCCUACAGGUGAGUAGACAUAGGAUAAUCGGUGUUGUAGUAUAAUAGUAUAUAAACUAAGAAAAGCCAAGUCACGUGUAGACUUCAGUGCGAUUAUUUAACCUUGAACUUGAAUUUUUUUUUCGAUUCAUAGCCACCCAUCCCAAUAGUUCUUUCAAAAAGUUACAUACUGUGUCCUGCAUAUUGUUGUUCAUUUUGUGUUCUUUUUAUGUACACCGCUCUCUGAGGUUUUAAAACUGCCAUUUGUGUGUUUUACACGUGUAUAUAACCAAUUUCUUGUUGAGCAGAAGUGCUUGAAUUCCUCAUUACACUUUAGAACUGAAAUGUAGUUUCUAAACUGUAUUCAUGCAUGUUCGACUGUGCAAAAAGCCAAAUAUUUUUUUCUCCAAAAAAAAAUGCUUUAAGCAGAAAAAUGUUUAUGCAAUUACAGGUUUUGUUUAUAAUUUGAAAGAGAUAAUUCCAAAGUAAGAUAGAUUAUAUACGUCAUUCUCUUGCUGCUAUGAAGCUUUUCUUUUCUAGUCUUACACAAAGAUGCCUUAUUGUCAUUCACUUGUGUGCUGCUAUAUUAUGAAAUUUUGUAUAUGUAACAUGGCUUUUCUGUUGUAUAUGUACCGGAGGGAACGUAACACAGUUUUGGUGCGGGACUGGAAGUACUCGUGUUUGCCGAUCUCUUUGAUUAGCAUGUUUUAUUCUUUUAUUGUUUCAUUUGUAUCUUUAUAUUCUUUCAUAUUCUUGCUGCUUCUUUGUAAUGUUUGUGUACCUCAGGUUAAUUUGGACGGAUAGAGCGAGAGCCCAUCUCAUCAUUACCUCAUCACACUUGACAUCACACACACACAUUGACUUCACUCUUAAUUAUUUUUUGGACGGGUUUCACGGUUUCUGUCUGGAUGAGAAGAAGUGUGGUACUUCUACUCUUCAAAACAAGAAAUGUCAGACACCAGAUUCCACCGAGCAGUUCUAAGAACCUACUUUAAAUUUCAUGCAUCUGGUGCUAAGUCAAAAACAGCAUAUACUGUAUGUCAUACAUGUAUCGGAAAGACAAAAAAAAAGUUUUUUUCCUACUUGGAGGUUCAUUGAUAAAUUUUGAUUAGUUCAUUAAAAUAAAGGGGUUUUGAGGUACCCAUUUAAAGUUUAAACCUUGAGAAUGUUUUAUCAUUGUUAAGUGUGGUUGUUAAUCCAAACUCCUCUCCCACUGUCCUCGUGUGCAACCACAUAGUGUACCUCAACAAUUUGUC